GGGCGGAUAGCUCAGCGGUAGAGCGUCUCGUUUACACCGAGAGGGUCGGGGGUUCGAUCCCCUCUCCGCCCACCA
rnacentral:tRNA from 1 species